rnacentral:tRNA from 1 species
GGCCAAGUAGCUCAGUUGGUAGAGCAACGGACUGAAAAUCCGUGUGUCGGUGGUUCGAUUCCGCCCUUGGCCA